UACGGAGGGUGCAAGCGUUAUCCGGAUUCACUGGGUUUAAAGGGUGCGUAGGCGGGCAGGUAAGUCCGUGGUGAAAUCUCUGAGCUUAACUCAGAAACUGCCAUGGAUACUAUUUGUCUUGAAUAUUGUGGAGGUAAGCGGAAUAUGUCACGUAGCGGUGAAAUGCUUAGAUAUGACAUAGAACACCAAUUGCGAAGGCAGCUUACUACACAGUAAUUGACGCUGAGGCACGAAAGCGUGGGGAUCAAACAGG
rnacentral:rRNA from 1 species